GCCCUCGUGGCGGAAUUGGCAGACGCACCAGCUUGAGGUGCUGGCGGGUAACACCGUGGUGGUUCGAAUCCACUCGAGGGCACCA
rnacentral:tRNA from 3 species